rnacentral:lncRNA from 1 species
CAGGGGCAAAAUCAUAAUUUUACUAAAAUCCUGAUUUGAUAGCAUCAUUUGGUAGAACAAAUGAUUUGUAAUCUAUUGGUGAAAAUUUCAUUGUUUUUGGACUUAUAUUUUUGAAGUUAUGAAGGCUUGAAGUGUAUGAGUCGACUCAUGAGUCAACUCAUGGCACUAUGAGCUGAUUGGCACGCAAAAAUUUCCCUUGGCACGCUGGAUUUUUGACUUGGCACGACCUGUGAGUCGACUCAUGAGUCGACCCACAAGGCAUGAGUCGACUCAUGAGUCGACCUCUGCUGAUUUGAGCCAAAAAAUCCAGAAAUCAAACUUGUCUGGCUGUUGCAACAGAAGUCGACUCAUGAGUCGACUCCUGAAGCAUGAGUCGACUCAUGAGUCGACCCCUGCGAUGAAAAAUGUCCGCAACGGCUAGUUUUUUUGCCCGUUUUAAUUACCUUUUAUGCUUCCUAAAAAUGCUCUAACGGCUCUUUUUCUGCCUAAUAUGUUUUCUCUUGUUUCUUAAUGCUAUAAAAUGUUUCAAAAGGUGAAAAUACAGGAUACAAUUGAAAGGAUCCAAAAUAUACACGAGGUGAUCAACGAGAUACUCGAGAGAAAAAGAAAAGAGGAUCCAAAAUCUACACGAGAGAGACAAGUGAUCCACAAUAUACACGAGAGAUUGUGAAAG